AUCUACGGCCAUGCCACCCUGAAUGUGCCCGAUCUCCUCUGAUCUCGAAAGCUAAGCAGGGUCAGGAUUGGUUAGUACUUGGAUGGAAGACCAUCUAGGAGGACCAGGUGCUGUAGGCA
rnacentral:rRNA from 1 species